AUACUUACCUGGCAGGGGCAAUACCAUGAUCAAGUAGGUGCGUUCGCCCAAGGCGAGGCUCAACCAUUGCACUCAGGCUGUGCUGACCUUUGCGAAUUCCCCAAAUGUGGGAAUCUCGACUGCACAAUUUCUUAUACAUUGGGGGACUGCGUUCGCGCUUUCCCCUG
ensembl:snRNA U1 U1 spliceosomal RNA